GACAGCUGUGCUUGGGCAGGGGGAAACCAGAGGAAACUCUGGCGGACGUCCUUAGUGGCCCUCUCGUGCAAACUGGUCAUCUCAGCUGAAUACUGGGGCAAAAGAGUAAUUGAACCAUGUAGUAGCU
rnacentral:ncRNA from 1 species